rnacentral:snRNA from 1 species
GUGCUCGCUUCAGCAGCACAUAUACUACAAU